rnacentral:rRNA from 1 species
AUUGAACGCUGGCGGCAUGCUUUACACAUGCAAGUCGAACGGUAACAGGCCGCAAGGUGCUGACGAGUGGCGAACGGGUGAGUAAUGCAUCGGAACGUGCCCAGUCGUGGGGGAUAACGCAGCGAAAGCUGUGCUAAUACCGCAUACGAUCUAUGGAUGAAAGCGGGGGACCGUAAGGCCUCGCGCGAUUGGAGCGGCCGAUGUCAGAUUAGGUAGUUGGUGGGGUAAAGGCUCACCAAGCCAACGAUCUGUAGCUGGUCUGAGAGGACAGCCAGCCACACUGAGACUGAGACACGGCCAAGACGCCUACGGGAGGCAGCAGUGGGGAAUUUUGGACAAUGGGCGCAAGCCUGAUCCAGCAAUGCCGCGUGCAGGAAGAAGGCCUUCGGGUUGUAAACUGCUUUUGUACGGAACGAAAAGGUUUGGGUUAAUACCCUGGGCCGAUGACGGUACCGUAAGAAUAAGCACCGGCUAACUACGUGCCAGCCGCCGCCGUAAUAC